CUACGGGGGGCAGCAGUAAGGAAUAUUGCGCAAUGGAGGCAACUCUGACGCAGCCAUGCCGCGUGCAGGAAGAAGGCCUUAUGGGUCGUAAACUGCUUUUAUUUAGGAAUAAACCCCCGAACGUGUUCGGGGCUGAAGGUACUAAACGAAUAAGCACCGGCUAACUCCGUGCCAGCAGCCGCGGUAAUACGGAGGGUGCAAGCGUUAUCCGGAUUUAUUGGGUUUAAAGGGUGCGCAGGCGGGCUAUUAAGUCAGUGGUGAACUCCCGGGGCUCAACUCCGGAACUGCCAUUGAUACUGAUAGUCUAGAGUUUGGUUGAAGUGGGCGGAAUGUAGCAUGUAGCGGUGAAAUGCAUAGAUAUGCUACAGAACACCAAUCGCGAAGGCAGCUCACUAAGCCAAAACUGACGCUCAUGCACGAAAGCGUGGGGAUCAAACAGGAUUAGAUACCCCUGUAGUC
rnacentral:rRNA from 1 species